AAUUUUCUUCUAUUCAUGGCAUAAGAAAAAUUCCAAUGGACAUAUAAGUCAACAAAGUUGAAAAUUUGAAUGACAUCUUCAAAUAGAUCAGCAAGAACAAGACACUAUGAAAUAGACCCCAUGGAAGAGAACUGAAAAACCCAGCUCACAUCCAAAACUAUGGCCCAAGACAUAUGGCCCCAAUCAAGCCUUACCAGUCAUCUCCUGUCAUACCAGAUGCUCCAGGAGGAAGAUAGCUGUGAUGGUAGAAGGACUCCCAGGCUGUCCUGUAUACUGACAUCUUCAGCAGCAGCCAGUGCUGAAUGGAGCCAUUCUGCCAAUAGCUGUUGGAGUGAGCCAUCUGGAGUGAUGAUCUCUCAGGUCCGGACAUGCCUUCACACAGCUGCAGCCUCUGCUGACAUCUUGAGUGUAGCCGCAUGAAAAACCCUGAGCUAGAACCAUACAUGGAAGGCACUUCCAGAUUCCUGAUCCUCAGAAACUAUGUGAGAAAAUAAGUUUUGUUUCAUUGUAUCUCACAAUGUUAAGUUUUGAGGUAACUUUUUACACAUCAAUAAAUAAUGGAAUAUAAAGUAAAAAUGUGUCUAUGAACUGGAGAAU